GAUGAACGCUGGCGGCGUGCCUAAUACAUGCAAGUCGAGCGAACAGACGAGGAGCUUGCUCCUCUGACGUUAGCGGCGGACGGGUGAGUAACACGUGUAUAACCUACCUAUAAGACUGGGAUAACUUCGGGAAACCGGAGCUAAUACCGGAUAAUAUAUUGAACCGCAUGGUUCAAUAGUGAAAGACGGUUUUGCUGUCACUUAUAGAUGGAUCCGCGCCGCAUUAUCUAGUUGGUAAGGUAACGGCUUACCAAGGCGACGAUGCGUAGCCGACCUGAGAGGGUGAUCGGCCACACUGGAACUGAGACACGGUCCAGACUCCUACGGGAGGCAGCAGUAGGGAAUCUUCCGCAAUGGGCGAAAGCCUGACGGAGCAACGCCGCGUGAGUGAUGAAGGUCUUCGGAUCGUAAAACUCUGUUAUUAGGGAAGAACAAAUGUGUAAGUAACUAUGCACGUCUUGACGGUACCUAAUCAGAAAGCCACGGCUAACUACGU
rnacentral:rRNA from 1 species